UACGGGGGGGGCAAGCGUUUGUUCGGAAUUACUGGGCGUAAAGGGCUCGUAGGCGGCCAACUAAGUCAGACGUGAAAUCCCUCGGCUUAACCGGGGAACUGCGUCUGAUACUGGAUGGCUUGAGUUUGGGAGAGGGAUGCGGAAUUCCAGGUGUAGCGGUGAAAUGCGUAGAUAUCUGGAGGAACACCGGUGGCGAAGGCGGCAUCCUGGACCAACACUGACGCUGAUGAGCGAAAGCCAGGGGAGCAAAGCGGG
rnacentral:rRNA from 1 species